UACGAAGGGUGCAAACGUUGCUCGGAAUCAUUGGGCGUAAAGCGCACGUAGGCGGCCUGUUAAGUCGGAUGUGAAAUCCCUCGGCUCAACCGAGGACGUGCAUUCGAAACUGGCAGGCUCGAGUAUGGAAGAGGGUCGCGGAAUUCCCGGUGUAGAGGUGAAAUUCGUAGAUAUCGGGAGGAACACCAGUGGCGAAGGCGGCGACCUGGGCCAAUACUGACGCUGAGGUGCGAAAGCGUGGGGAGCAAACAGGAUUAGAUACCUU
rnacentral:rRNA from 1 species